CUUGAUAGCGAUUUGACAAUGAAAAAAAUCUUUCUGAGAUUAGCUAUAAUGAAAUAGAAAUCAAAUCCCUGAUAUCUACUGACUGAUGAGAUAUAUUUUCAACAGUUGUGGGUGUAUUUUUAUCCAUUUACCCAGCUGUCUUUUUUUUUUUUUGAAGAAAAGCAAGUUAAUUGCCUAGAAACUUGGGAAAAUCUAAAAUAUGGCAGCCGACCCAUUCAAAAAUGCUUUUCCUCAUGUAUCCAACAUUAAUAUUUUGCUCAGGGCUAUAGUAGUACCAAAAAGGCAUCAGAAAAAUCCAGGUCGGUGUGUUAUUUUUGCAGCUCAGUCAAUGGAUUUAGUCAUCCUGAGCUGACUGGUGCGGUGAUGUGGAAGGAAUGCUUUAAAGCAACAUGUUGUAUCUUCUGGGGUUUGUGUGUGUGCCAGUUAGUAGUUGAGGCCACAGAUGUACUGCUGCAAAGCAUUCUUUCUAUCUUUCCUUUUGUGCAUAUGUUUGUGUGUAUGUGUGAGAGAGGGGGGCAACUUCUUUCAUAUUUGACACAAUCCCAUUCUUUCUUCUCAAAAGCACACAAUAGGACUUAUUUUAUAUCUAGUCUUUUUUAAAAUUGCAGAAUUGAAAUUUAGUUGGAGUUGUAAUUAGGUUUUAAAAUAUUCAUUCAUGUGUUCUUCCUGGGUUUUUUUUUAUCUUCCUUAAAUCCCAGUUCUGGCUACAACAUUUUAUUCCCACAGCAGAGGAUAGCUUUUUUUCUGUCCUGGGAGUUUCCAUUACAAACCAUGGUAAAUGUCACACAUCAGUACGUUGUCCGAGAUAGCCAUUUUGGGUGACUUCAUGGAUGGGAAGUUAUGCUCCCCCUCUAUUCUGCCUUGGUCAGACCACACCUGGAAUACUGUGUCCAAUUUUGGGCACCACAGUUGAAGGGAGAUGUUGACAAGCUGGAAAGCGUCCAGAGGAGGGCGACUAAAAUGAUUAAGGGUCUGGAGAACAAGCCCUAUGAGGAGCGGCUUAAAGAGCUGGGCAUGUUUAGCCUGCAGAAGAGAAGGCUGAGAGGAGACAUGAUAGCCAUGUACAAAUAUGUGAAGGGAAGUCAUAGGGAAGAGGGAGCAAGCUUGUUUUCUGCUGCCCUGCAGACUAGGACACGGAACAAUGGCUUCAAACUACAGGAAAGGAGAUUCCACCUGAACAUCAGGAAGAACUUCCUCACUGUGAGAGCUGUUCGACAGUGGAACUCUCUCCCCGGGGCCGUGGUGGAGGCUCCUUCCUUGGAGGCUUUUAAGCAGAGGCUGGAUGGCCAUCUGUCGGGGGUGCUUUGAAUGCGAUUUCCUGCUUCUUAGCAGGGGGUUGGACUAGAUGGCCCAUGUGGUCUCUUCCAACUCUACUAUUCUAUGAUUCUAUGAUUCUAUGAUUCUAUGAUUCUAUGGUAUCAUCACUGAUCUCAUAAUAUAGGAUUUCAGCCAGUAUUCAGGGCACAACUGGAUGCAGAAGCAGAAACAACAACUGCAAAAUAUUGCAACGAAUGAAACAGAAUGUCUCCAGCAUUUAGUAGAAAUAUUGGUCUGUCUGAAGGAGCCUAAAAUAAUUGUUUGAGUCCAAUCCAUGUCCAUAGGUCAUAUAAAAUAUAUAUCAUAUAUGAUCUCCAUGAAUGAGUCAGGGACCCUAGAUCUGGCCCUGAGUCUGUGGGGAAAUGAAGUCCCCCUCUCCCUAAACUUAUCUUUUGGAAACACCAACCAGCAAUGAAAUCAGAGGGAAUCCCCAGCCAACAUGAGCCUGGGUUUCAGCCAAUCAAAGCAAGCCAUGAUAUUCCAAAUGGCUGUCAAAAUGAAUAAAUAUUCUGUAUAUGUUUCUGUAGGGUAUGUUGGAUCUUUGAGAGCAUAGACUGUAUUCUGACAUCCUUUUGGGCCUGAAAGAAUAAAAUCUCUUCUUUUGCCUUCAA